GCCCGGGUGGCGAAAUCGGUAGACGCAGGGGAUUCAAAAUCCCCCGCCGCAAGGCGUGCCGGUUCGAGUCCGGCCCCGGGCACCA
rnacentral:tRNA from 1 species